rnacentral:rRNA from 1 species
GGGGAAUAUUGGACAAUGGGGGGAACCCUGAUCCAGCCAUGCCGCGUGUGUGAAGAAGGCCUUAUGGUUGUAAAGCACUUUAAGCGAGGAGGAGGCUACUGAGACUAAUACUCUUGGAUAGUGGACGUUACUCGCAGAAUAAGCACCGGCUAACUCUGUGCCAGCAGCCGCGGUAAUACAGAGGGUGCGAGCGUUAAUCGGAUUUACUGGGCGUAAAGCGUGCGUAGGCGGCUUUUUAAGUCGGAUGUGAAAUCCCCGAGCUUAACGUGGGAAUUGCAUUCGAUACUGGGAAGCUAGAGUAUGGGAGAGGAUGGUAGAAUUCCAGGUGUAGCGGUGAAAUGCGUAGAGAUCUGGAGGAAUACCGAUGGCGAAGGCAGCCAUCUGGCCUAAUACUGACGCUGAGGUACGAAAGCAUGGGGAGCAAAC